AUAGCGUAUAUUAAAGUUGCUGCAGUUAAAAAGCUCGUAGUUGGAUUUCGGAUUAAUGGGAGUUAAGGUCCAUCAAUUUGAUGUGUACCUUAUUCUCGUUUCCUUCCUUUUGAAUACACUCCCUGAAAUUUUUUUUUGGGGAUCAAAGUGUUUCAAAUCUUUUACUGUGAAGAAAUUAGAGUGUUCAAAGCAGGCGUAAUCUAGCCUUUGAAUAUAUUAGCAUGGGAUAAUGAAAUAGGACUUUAGUUCUACUUUCGUUGGUUUCUAGGGCUAAAGUAAUGAUUAAUAGGGAUAGUUGGGGUCACUAGUAUUUAAUUGUCAGAGGUGAAAUUCUAAGAUUUAUUAAAGACUAACUACUG
rnacentral:rRNA from 1 species